rnacentral:rRNA from 1 species
UUCUAGAUACACUUUCCAGUACAUCUACUUUGUUACGACUUAUUUCAAUUUUUAAAUGAAAGUGACGGGCAAUAUGUACAUAUUUUAAUUUUUAAUCAUUUUAAUAAACUAAUUAAAAUUACAUUUAAAUCCACUUUCAAAUAUAAUUUUCAAUAAUAUUAUUCAUUUAAAUAUAUUUAUUGUAACCCAUCAUAUUCUUAAAUAUAAUCUGCAUCAUGAUCUGAAUUAAUUUUUUAUAUUAAAAUUUAAAUAUUAUUUUUAUUUAAAAAUAUUUUUUUAACAAUGAUAUACAAAAUAUUAAAUUAAGUAAAUUUAUUCGUGGAUUAUCAAUUAUUAGACAGAUUCCUCUAAAUGAACUAAAAUACCGCCAUAUUAUUCAAGUUUCAAUAAAUAAUUAUUUACUAUUUUAGUAUUAUAAAUUAAUUUUUUAAUAAUAGGGUAUCUAAUCCUAGUUUAUAUUAAAAUUUAUUAAAUCAUAAUUUAAAAAUAAAAUUUAAUUAAAUUAAAAUUUCACUUAAUAAUUUAAUAUUUAUUUUAAAUUAAAAUCAUUUAUUAUGAACUGAAAUAAUUUAAUUCAAUUUUUGUAUAACCGCAACUGCUGGCCCAAAAUUAGUUACUAAUUUUAAUAUCACUAAAUCUUAAUUUCUUAAAUUUUUAAUAUUAAUUACUACCCCAAUAAUUAAUUAUUAUUAAAAUAAUUAAAAUUCUUUACUAAAAUUUAUAUGUAAAAUGAACUUAUAAUAAAAUUACUAAAAUAUAAAAAAUUUAUCUAUUC